rnacentral:lncRNA from 1 species
CAGAGAUACUGGAGUGAUGGAGGUAGAUAUGUAUAGGGGGAAGGGGACAGGGAUACUGGAGUGAUGGAGGUAGAUAUGUAUAGGGGACAGGGAUACUGGAGUGAUGGAGGUAGAUAUGUAUAGGGGGAAGGGGACAGGGAUACUGGAGUGAUGGAGGUAGAUAUGUAUAGGGGGAAGGGGACAGGGAUACUGGAGUGAUGGAGGUAGAUAUGUAUAGGGGAAAGGGGACAGGGAUACUGGAGUGAUGGAGGUAGAUAUGUAUAGGGGACAGGGAUACUGGAGUGAUGGAGUGAUGGAGGUAGAUAUGUAUAGAGGGAAGGAGACAGGGAUACUGGAGUGAUGGAGGUAGAUAUGUAUAGGGGGAAGGAGACAGGGAUACUGGAGUGAUGGAGGUAGAUAUGUAUAGGGGACAGGGAUACUGGAGUGAUGGAGGUAGAUAUGUAUAGGGGGAAGGGGACAGGGAUACUGGAGUGAUGGAGGUAGAUAUGUAUAGGGGACAGGGAUACUGGAGUGAUGGAGGUAGAUAUGUAUGGGGGAAGGGGACAGGGAUACUGGAGUGAUGGAGGUAGAUAUGUAUAGGGGGAAGGAGACAGGGAUACUGGAGUGAUGGAGGUAGAUAUGUAUAGGGGGAAGGGGACAGGGAUACUGG